GUGAGAGCAAAAAUAAGGAUAAAGCUGCAAUCUUCUGGAAUCCCACGGAACGGAAAUUAAUAUGAGAUUGCAGAGCUGUGAGGAUAACUGGAAAGAAGGAAGUGUUGAAUCUCUGCACAAGAGUAUGGGAAAUCCUUUGGUUCCUAGUGUGAGCAUACAUGUAACAGUGCUGAAAUACCAGGCUGCAGCAGCAGUUACAUGCUUCCAUCAAGCUCCACAACUAGAAGAGGAACAUCCCACUCUAAGGCUGCUGCAGCAGUUACAUGCUUCCAUCAAGCUCCACAACUAGAA